AUGGACAAGAUCUUGGCUUUCUCGAUCCUGAGCUCCUCGCCGGCGGACAUCACGGGUGCCGGGUACGCCACGCGCCUUUCCUGGCGGAGCCGCAGCUGGCAGCAGCUGGAGAAAGCCACGGAGAAGCUGCGGCAGGAGGAGAAGGUCGACCAAGUCUCUCCGCCACAGAUAAAGCGGGAGGUGCGUUUCGCACCGGAGUUUGACGGCAUCAACUGCUUCGAGUCCAUGAUCUCAUUCUGA
rnacentral:rRNA from 1 species